rnacentral:tRNA from 1 species
GUUACGGUGGCAGAGCCUGGCAAUUGCGAAAGGCCUAAGCCCUUUAGACAGAGGUUCAAUUCCUCUCCCUAACU